ACACAGCCCAUUUGUUUGUAAGCUUAUCUCCAAAUCGCACAGCCUCAUCCGCUCGUGUCGUCCGAGCAGACCACUCAUCAUCCCGUCAUCCGUCAUGGCGGCCUCCUCCUUCCUCAGGCCACUCCUCCCUCCCCAACCCCUCCUCUCCGCCCGCAGACCCCACCUCCCCGCUGCUCCCACCACGAGCACCACCACCGUACGCUGCACUGCCGCGCCCAAACCGGCCACCUCGACGCCGAAACCCAGCCAGGAAGAGGCCAACAGCCGAGCACUACAGCAAGUAGAACCCACUCCGGACGAGGCGAACGGCAACCCGAACAGCAUCCCCGACUCGGAGACCCCGGUGUCGGCG
rnacentral:lncRNA from 1 species